rnacentral:tRNA from 1 species
UAGGGUAUAGCGUAAAAGGGUAACGCAUUUGUUUUGGGAACAAAAGAUUUGUAGGUUCGAAUCCUAUUACUCUAA